UACAGAGGUCUCAAGCGUUGUUCGGAAUCCCUGGGCGUAGAGGGUGCGUAGGCUGCACGGUAAGUCAGAGGUGAAAUCCCGGGGCUCAACCCCGGAAUUGCCUCCGAUACUGCCGUGCUUGAGGACUGGAGAGGAGUCUGGAAUUCACAGUGGAGCAGUGAAGUGCGUAGAUAUUGUGAGGAACACUAGUGGCGAAGGCGAGACUCUGGACAGUUCCUGACGCUGAGGCACGAAGGCCAGGGGAGCAAACGGG
rnacentral:rRNA from 1 species